AUUGAACGCUGGCGGCAGGCCUAACACAUGCAAGUCGAGCGGAUGAGAGGAGCUUGCUUCUCGAUUCAGCGGCGGACGGGUGAGUAAUGCCUAGGAAUCUGCCUGGGAGUGGGGGACAACGUUUCGAAAGGAACGCUAAUACCGCAUACGUCCUACGGGAGAAAGCAGGGGACCUUCGGGCCUUGCUCUAUCAGAUGAGACUAGGUCGGAUUAGCUAGUUGGUGAGGUAAUGGCUCACCAAGGCGACGAUCAGUAACUGGUCUUAGAGGAUGAUCAGUCACACUGGAACUGAGACACGGUCCAGACUCCUACGGGAGGCAGCAGUGGGGAAUAUUGGACAAUGGGCGAAAGCCUGAUCCAGCCAUGCCGCGUGUGUGAAGAAGGUCUUCGGAUUGUAAAGCACUUUAAGUUGGGAGGAAGGGUUGUAGAUUAAUACUCUGCAAUUUUGACGUUACCGACAGAAUAAGCACCGGCUAACUCUGUGCCAGCCGCCGCCGUAA
rnacentral:rRNA from 1 species